CAGGGACAGGGACUUUAAGAUGGGACAUUCAGAGAGGCAUUUGUUAUCAUUCUACCAUCAUGGACAGGGACAGGGACUUUAAGAUGGGACAUUCAGAGAGGUUAUUUUGAUUACCUAGACCAACCCAAGGCAUUGGUUCUUAUUCUACCAUCAUGGACAGGGACAGGGACUUAAAGAUGGGACUGCAGAGCCUACCAUCAGGGACAUUCAGAGAGGUAAUUAAAAUUACCUCAACCAAUACGAGGCAUUUGUUAUCAUUCUACCAUCAUGGACAGGGACAGGGACAGACAAGGACAGGGACAUUAAGAUGGGACAUUCAGAGAGGUAAUUUUGAUUACCUCGACCAACCCGAGGCAUUUGUUAUCACUCUACCAUCAUGGCCAGGGACAGGGACUUUAAGAUGGGACAUUCAGAGAGGCAUUUGUUAUCAUUCUACCAU